rnacentral:rRNA from 1 species
AAAGCAACGCUUCUCUCGCCCCUCGCAUCGAUGAGGAGCGAAGCGCGUUGCGAAAAGGGGUCCGAUCUCCGUUCUGCAAAUCAUCGAGUUCUUGAACCGCGCCCCGCACCCUUUGGCUUGGCCGUGGGGUAGGCUUGUUUCAGCACUACUCCCACCCCAGAAAUGUUUUUUUUUUAUUGACCUGUCCAUUGGGAAUGGCAUGGCAAAGG